rnacentral:lncRNA from 1 species
UACGGUCCUCCAUUUGGUAUCAAAAGUUUAUUGUUUUCUUGGUUGUUGGUAAAAAAAAUAUAUAUUUUUUUCUGCUAAUUUGUAAUUAAUAUUAUUAGGCAAUUGUUUCUUUUCUUAUUUCUUCUUUUCUUUUAUUUCUAUAAUCAACUUUUGUAGAUAUACAAUAAUUUCUUUUCUUUCUUUUUUUAUUUCACAAAACCAACCUCACUGCAGAGACCGGCGUUGACAAGUAUUGCAGUCGGCGUUGGCUGACAUUAAAAGUAACGGCGUUGACUUAAAAUCGACUGUAAGCCGGCUAAGUUUUCAACUGCGUUCUUUUUUUUAAUCAUUAACGGUAUUGAAAAAGGCGAUAUAAAAGUGAUUAAUAUAUGGGAUUUUGGAGUGAAAUCGGUAUUUAAUAUAAAAACUUGUAAUGUUCUGUAUCGUAUUAUUUUAUUUGGGUACGAUUUAGAUUUAAACCAUCCGGUUCGAUUGACUAAAUUUAUGAUGUUCUUUAGGCAUAUCCCCAAUAGCUCAUCCAAACAAGAUAAAGCAGCAAGGCCGAAACAUUGUUUUCUACUUUCAUUGAAAGAUGGACAAUGGCAGCGAAGGUGAGGUUGUGUUUCCUCUUCCUCCUCACUAUUACAACUUCUACAGUAGUCGUUAUAUUCGAGACCCAUCCUUCUCGCGUGAUUGCCAAUAGUACAGUGUCCUGUUAUUACCGAUACCAGCAUUCCUUUAUGUUCCCUUCGAAAGCUUAAUAGUACGUUUGACCUGGGAGCAUCAAAUAGAGGCCAAAUUGAUCUCAAAUUAAGACAGGUGGUUUCACUGAACCAUCUGAUUUGAGCCAUAUUAUAUAGUAGCUAACAGGGAAUAAAAACAUUUUCGAGUGGAAACUAAAGCGAGUAUUCUGGAAUGAAUCAUGCAUCUGGCGGAAUAAUUUCUCCACUACAUCUUUAUUCUUGGAAAUAUCUCAAUCUCAACAUUACGCAAUGAUCGCAAAAAAGUAUUCCAACAAAAAACUGAAUCCGUAAGGAAAAGAAGAAGCCAUUCCAUUUCGUUUCAAUGCUUUACGAUUUCGAUCGUAAUUAUCGAAAUGCUGAAAAUUUCGAUACAAAUUGAAAUGCAUAAUAGGGA